rnacentral:tRNA from 1 species
AGGGGAUUAGUUUAAUGGUAGAACAGCGGUCUCCAAAACCGUUGGUGUGGGUUCGACUCCUGCAUCCCCUGCCA